GUGGGUGUAGCUCAGCUGGUUAGAGCGUCUGGCUGUGAACCAGAAGGUCGGGGGUUCAAGUCCCCUCACUCACCCCA
rnacentral:tRNA from 1 species